rnacentral:rRNA from 1 species
CGCUGGCGGCACGCCUAACACAUGCAAGUCGAACGAAGUAGCAAUACUUAGUGGCAGACGGGUGAGUAACAUGUAGGUAUCUACCCUUUGGCCUGGAAUAACACGAGGAAACUUGUGCUAAUACCAGAUAAGUCUUUACGGAGAAAGCUUUAUGCACCAUUGGAUGAGCCUGCACUUGAUUAGUUUGUUGGUAGGGUAAUGGCCUACCAAGACUAUGAUCAAUAGCUGAUUUGAGAGGAUGAUCAGCCACAUUGGGACUGAGACACGGCCCAAACUCCUACGGGAGGCAGCAGUGGGGAAUCUUGCACAAUGGAGGAAACUCUGAUGCAGCGAUGCCGCGUGAGUGAAGAAGGCCUUUGGGUUGUAAAGCUCUUUCGUCGGGGAAGAAAAUGACUGUACCCGAAUAAGAAGGUCCGGCUAACUUCGUGCCAGCAGCCGCGGUAAUACGAAGGGACCUAGCGUAGUUCGGAAUUACUGGGCUUAAAGAGUUCGUAGGUGGUUGAAAAAGUUGGUGGUGAAAUCCCAGAGCUUAACUCUGGAACUGCCAUCAAAACUUUUCAGCUAGAGUUUGAUAGAGGAAAGCAGAAUUUCUAGUGUAGAGGUGAAAUUCGUAGAUAUUAGAAAGAAUACCAAUUGCGAAGGCAGCUUUCUGGAUCAAUACUGACACUGAGGAACGAAAGCAUGGGUAGCGAAGAGGAUUAGAUACCCUCGUAGUCCAUGCCGUAAACGAUGUGUGUUAGACGUUGGAAAUUUAUUUUCAGUGUCGCAGUGAAAGCGAUAAACACACCGCCUGGGGAGUACG